rnacentral:rRNA from 1 species
GACGAACGCUGGCGGCGUGCCUAAUACAUGCAAGUCGAACGCACAGUUUAUACCGUAGCUUGCUACACCAUAAACUGUGAGUUGCGAACGGGUGAGUAACGCGUAGGUAACCUGCCUGGUAGCGGGGGAUAACUAUUGGAAACGAUAGCUAAUACCGCAUAAUAUUGAUUAUUGCAUGAUAAUUGAUUGAAAGAUGCUAUUGCAUCACUACCAGAUGGACCUGCGUUGUAUUAGCUAGUAGGUGAGGUAACGGCUCACCUAGGCGACGAUACAUAGCCGACCUGAGAGGGUGAUCGGCCACACUGGGACUGAGACACGGCCCAGACUCCUACGGGAGGCAGCAGUAGGGAAUCUUCGGCAAUGGACGAAAGUCUGACCGAGCAACGCCGCGUGAGUGAAGAAGGGUUUCGGAUCGUAAAGCUCUGUUGUAAGAGAAGAACGGGUGUGAGAGUGGAAAGUUCACACUGUGACGGUAUCUUACCAGAAAGAGACGGCUAACUACGUG